AACAAGAGGUAAGGAAGAAGAGAACAAAACCACACAAGGAGUCCCUCUCUUGAGAUCAUAUUGAUGAUCCAAGUAGCUCCCAUCCUUUGGAAUAAGCAAUCAUAAGCAUAAACUUAUGCAAUCAACAAUAAAUGAAUCCCUGGAUAAGGCUCCUCAAGGUCUCCUGGAUAUCUCUCAUCUUAGAAGCUCAUGGUAAUGGUUCCUCAAUUAAGCUCAAGUUGGAACUCCUAACACAAGAAA
rnacentral:lncRNA from 1 species